CGUGUAGGCGGCCUGAUUAGUCAGAUGUGAAAGCUCCGGGCUUAACCCGGAAAGUGCAUUUGAAACUGUCAGGCUUGAGUCCGGGAGAGGAAGGUGGAAUUCCCAGUGUAGAGGUGAAAUUCGUAGAUAUUGGGAGGAACACCGGUGGCGAAGGCGACCUUCUGGACCGAGACUGACGCUGAGACGCGAAAGCGUGGGGAGCAAACAGGAUUAGAUACCCUGGUAGUCC
rnacentral:rRNA from 1 species